AGGGGCAUUUUCUUACAAAUACCCCUUACUUUCUUUUGAUUUCUCGAUGCUUCUAUGUUCUAUCUUCAAAUGUCUCCACCGAAUUGUCUGCAUUCUCUGUAGCACUCGACUUAGAAGGCAGCUGAAACACACACACACACACAUAUGUGUUCCUGUCGCUUCUCCCAUCGUCGAUUUCAUUCUUCUCAAAGCUUCACCCUCUCAACUCGCCUCCGUUAUCCUCCUCUAUCUAGCCUGCAAAUCGAAUUAGACGGCAGUUGAAAAACACACACAUAUGUGUUGCUUCGAAAUCCACCGCUGUCGGCCUGUCGCUUCGCGACCCACAACCAUCAUCGCAUUGUGUCCACAACGCCACCGUGCGAGCUGUACCUCCACCAUUACCACCGAUCGUUCCACAUUUUAGACUGCCACAACCGACGAAAUGGAUCUCUCGGACACGGUUUGCUACCAUGCCUUACCGCUUGCUAUUUGCCUGUGAUUGGGUAAGUUUCAAAAUUAUCUACAUCGUUAACCCUAGCGGACUUCAUCACUGUUUCACUUAAGAUUAGGACAAGAAGAAAGAUGUAAGAGAUGGAGAGGUCGGGAGUGAUGCUGUCGUUUAAGUUAUUGCUUCAUUUGAUUUUUCAUCUUGAGACGUUACGUUUUUUUUAAGGUUGUCAUCCUACUGUUUUGAGUGUAUAAGAUAGCAAAGGGAACAAUGGUCUUCAUAUUACCACCAAAAAGUGUCAUACUAAGGACCGCAAGGACAAUUAUUGAUGGUUUAUCACUCCACCAUUGUGUUGUUGUUUGUGUAACUUAUUUGGUUUGUGUAUGUCUGCCAUGGUAUUUGCGCUUAAAAUUCUUUUUUUUUCAUGGAUUUUGUUUGUUUUUGCUCCAAACAUGAGUGCAACUGAUCUAUAAAUCCAACUUAAACAUGUUCGAUCAUCAGACAGCUUCUUUAAAACCCUCUUGUGGAGUUGGGGAAGUAAUAAAAAUAAGAAUAUUACAUUGCUUGCUUUUUAUCUAUAUAAUUAUAGACCCUGGCCUAAUUUGUAGUUCCUUUUUAUGCAGCAAAUUCAAACAAUGAGCUUGCUAGAAGUAAUCAAAUUGGUGGUUGGAAACCUCGACCAAUUCCAUUGUCACACCAUUGACAUUGCUUACUUUUUAUCUAUAUAAUUAGUGGGGUUUUUUUCUAUUCGAUUGAUUUUCCAAAUCGACAUCAGGUGAACUGUUGUUCUUUUUGACUUUUAAGUUCUUGAUGAUGUUGGAUUUAAUCUAGAGCAGACAAAGAGGUUUUAGGAAAUGUAUGUAGCUUGAUAUUUUGAUAUGGCGACUGAUAUGGACGUCGAUAUGAGCGAAGAAAAUGAGUUAAAAGGUGGCAUGUAGGCUUUAGAACAGAAGAUAUGAAGAAGCUGGUGGAUUAAAAACCACAUGUACAAAGAAAAGGUUGAAGACAAUAAUAAACGGGCAUUCACAACAUUGUACUCAUUGGAAUCUACACUUUCUAGAAGAAAGGAAGAACUUUUCACACCUCAACAAGGCAAACCAUCUUGGACAAAACGUUAUUCCUGAUGACAAAUUAUUGUGCAAAAAGAUUCUAUUGCAUGUAGUAGUAAAAAGACGAUGUCGGUGUUACAUAUAAGGAAAAGUUCCCUUGGUCUUUCACCAACAACUCAUUCAGGUUGAUUUAGUUCGAGUAUCCACAUUGCAGACAAACCGUAAGCCCUCAAACAGGAGUGGUUGACACGUCCUACAAAUGGGGUUACUUUUGGGGAUUAUGCAGUAAAAGACACCUCAAGAAGGUUAAUAUCCAAUAUAGUUUUUUGUUCUUGAUUGCUUUUAUAUUUGUCUUUAAGGUUUGUGGUGUUAACAUGAGUUUAUAUUCAACGGAUGCAUUACAACCUCAAAUCACUUCCUCAGAUGCACAUACACACAAUCAUACUUAUAAAAUGCUACUUAAUUACUGUGUGUACUCUUUAACAGAACAUUUUUUGGUAAUUUAAACAAUCGCAUUAUGAAGUUGCGUGUCACAGCUGUUUGCAAGUACAUCACGUGUGAAAAUUUUGAAGAAUUUUUAUCAGAUAAUUUCUUAGCUCAAUCUGCAAAAUAUUUCGACACGGCGAAGGAUGGUUUACACGAUUUUUCUGCUGGUAUGGUUCUUCAACAAUUAGCCAGUGACAAAUAUGACUUCUUUAAGAAGCAUUUGGUCUGACAUGGUAAUUUUUUUUGGUUCUCUUUAUAAUAAAGGUUACUGGGGUUUGUUAUCUAUAUGAAAUAACAAUGAGGAUUCUCACAUCCUAAUAUAGUAUCUCCUACAUCUAAUGACCUGAAAUAAAAGAAGACAGUUGUUGCUACAUUUGUUAAAAUGCAAUCGGUUGCUUUAAUGCCAAAAAAAGUUGCAACAUUAGCCCUUGAUUUUUUUUGUUAUGUUCGUGUGUUUUGGGGUUUCUGAAAAACACGACUUUCACUGUGUAACUAAUCGAAUAUAUAUGAUAAUUUCAUGAAUUCAACAUUUGAAGAACACAGUUUUGUUAUAGAUAUGGUUAGUUUGCAUUCGGAAA